rnacentral:lncRNA from 13 species
UGUGUCCGUCUGUCCAUCCCUGUGUCCAGCUGGCUGUCCCUGUGUCCCCCCUAACCAUCCCCAUGUCCGUCCCCAUGUCCAUCCCCUGUCCAUCCCCAUGUCCACCCCAUGUCCAUCUGUCCCUCCCAGGCCUGCCGGCACUUCAACGACAGCGGCGCCUGUGUCCCGCUGUGUCCGCAGCCCCUCAUCUACAACAAGCUGACGUUCCAGCUGGAGCCCAACCCCGACACCAAGUACCAGUACGGGGGGGUCUGCGUGCGGGAAUGCCCCCACAACUUCGUGGUGGACCAGAGCUCGUGCGUGCGUGCCUGCCCCAACGACAAGAUGGAAGUGGAGAAGAACGGGCUGAAGAUCUGCGAGCCCUGCGCGGGGCUGUGCCCCAAGGCCUGCGAGGGCACCGGCGCCGGCAGCAAAUACCAGACCGUGGACUCGAGCAACAUCGACACCUUCAUCAACUGCACCAAGAUCCUGGGCAACCUCGACUUCCUCAUCACGGGCCUGGAGGGGGAUCCCUGGCGCAACAUCUCGGCGCUGGACCCGGAGAAGCUGAACGUGUUCCGGACGGUGCGGGAGAUCACGGGGUACCUGAACAUCCAGUCCUGGCCCAAGCACAUGCACAACUUCAGCGUCUUCUCCAACCUCGAGACCAUCGGGGGCCGGAGCCUGUACAAGUGAGGAGCCUCUGCCGCGUGUCCCGCUCCGCCGAUCCCCGAAUUCCCUGUUUUCCCCGAUCCCCGAAUCCCCCGUCCUCCCCAAUCCCUGAAUUCCCCGUUUUCCCUAAUCCCCGCAUCCCCUCGUCCCUGCAUCCCCGGCACCCCCCAUCCCCAUGUCCUUGUCCCUGUGUUCCCUCGGGACCUUCCCUCCCUCCCUCCCUCCCUCCCGCUCCCGGAGCCUCCGUCUCUCCCGGAGCAUUCCCCAGCUCCCGGAGCAUUCCCCGGGUCCCGGAACAUUCUCCUGUUACCGGAGCUUCCCUUCCGCCGCUCCUGGAGCAUCUCCUCAUGCCCGGAGCAUUCCCCGGAUCCCAGAGCCGCUCCUGGAGCAUUCCCUCACUCCCAGAGCAUCCCCUCACUCCCGGAGCAUCCCCUCACUCCCGGAGCAUUCUCCGGGUCCCGGAGCCUCCGUCUCUCCCGGAGCAUUCCCCGACUCCCAGAACAUUCUCCUGUUACCGGAGCUUCCCUUCCGCCGCUCCCGGGGCAUCUCCUCACUCCCGGAGCAUCCCCUCACUCCCGGAGCAUUCCCUGGCUCCCGGAGCAUUCCCUCACCCCCUGAGCAUCCCCUCAUGCCCGGAACCGCUCCCGGAUCCCGGAGCAUGCCCCGGCUCCAGGAGCGGCUCCCGACUCCCGGUGCAUCUCCUCACUCCCGGAGGAUUUCCCGGCUCCCAGAGCAUCUCCCGGUGCAUCCCCUCACUCCCGAAGCAUUCCCCGGAUCCCAGGAGCAUCCCCUCACUCCCGGAGCACCUCCUCACUCCCGGAGCAUCCCCAGCUCCCCGAGCUCCCCCAGCUCCCGGAGCAGCUCCUCGAGCACCCCCUCACUCCCGGAGCAUCCCCUCACUCCCGGAGCAUCCCCUCACUC